UACGUAGGGGGCAAGCGUUGUCCGGAAUUAUUGGGCGUAAAGAGCUCGUAGGCGGCUCAGUAAGUCAGGUGUGAAACCUCCAGGCUCAACCUGGAGACGCCACCUGAUACUGCUGUGGCUAGAGUCCGGUAGGGGAGCGUGGAAUUCCUGGUGUAGCGGUGAAAUGCGCAGAUAUCAGGAGGAACACCAGCGGCGAAGGCGGCGCUCUGGGCCGGAACUGACGCUGAGGAGCGAAAGCGUGGGUAGCAAACAGG
rnacentral:rRNA from 1 species